GAUGAACGCUGGCGGCGUGCUUAACACAUGCAAGUCGAACGGUGAAGGCGGAGCUUGCUCUGCUGGAUCAGUGGCGAACGGGUGAGUAACACGUGAGCAAUCUGCCCCUGACUCUGGGAUAAGCGCUGGAAACGGCGUCUAAUACUGGAUACGAGCUGCGAAGGCAUCUUCAGCAGCUGGAAAGAACUUCGGUCAGGGAUGAGCUCGCGGCCUAUCAGCUUGUUGGUGAGGUAACGGCUCACCAAGGCGUCGACGGGUAGCCGGCCUGAGAGGGUGACCGGCCACACUGGGACUGAGACACGGCCCAGACUCCUACGGGAGGCAGCAGUGGAGAAUAUUGCACAAUGGGCGAAAGCCUGAUGCAGCAACGCCGCGUGAGGGACGACGGCCUUCGGGUUGUAAACCUCUUUUAGCAGGGAAGAAGCGAAAGUGACGGUACCUGCAGAAAAAGCGCCGGCUAACUACGUG
rnacentral:rRNA from 1 species